rnacentral:misc_RNA from 1 species
AAGGAUCAUUACUGAAGAAACAAGGGUUUUGAGACUGCGUCCUUCAUUGGCGUGUGCUCGACCCUUACUCUUUCAUCCCAUACACACCUUUGUGCACCAAGGGACCUUGCGUCCCCUUUUUUUUCAUAAAUACCGAGUUAUAUAUGCAUGUAUAUUUUGUAAUACUCUACGGAGUUAUAUAAAUACAACUUUCAACAACGGAUCUCUUGGCUUUC